UGAGAAUAUAGAUAGGACAGAAAGAAUGUGGCCAAAGAAUAAAGGCCAUAAGAAUUUAAGAUUGCUUUAUCAUCUCAAAGCUUCAAAAGUUAUCAUCUUGUGUUCUUGUAGUGAUAUUGGAUAAACAACACAUUAUAUUAUGUGAAUAGUUCUUAAUUCCUUGAUUACCUUGCAAGAUAUCACCAAAAGGGAUCAACGGACUUUGCUAAGCAAUUACAAUAUCAUUGAGAGGGCAAAACAAGAAGAAGAAAAGAAGCAUGAAUCAGAACACUAGUAUAAUGUAGUUAGUUUUCUUCAUCUAUCCUCUCUACAUAUUUUUCAAUGUAUUAAUUUGUAUUAUAUGAGGAAAAAUUAAUAAUAUUUUAGAAAAAUUGUGAUAUUGGGUUAUUGUGCAUAAAAAUAGGAACAAACAAUGAAAUUAAACUAUAUGAAGUAUUUUCAUAUUUGAAUAAAGAAAGACGAAAAUAAAAUAAGGAGAAUAGAAAAAUAUAGAUGUCAAGAAAAAUAAGAUAAAGAAAUUUUUUUAUAUAUUAUUGCCGAAAAUAUAGUGUUAACUUACAAAUAGUAAUUUAAUUAUUUUGUUCACUUAUAUUGUCUUAGUCUGUUUCUUAUAUAUUCCCCCUAAAUUUUGAGAGAAUAAAACUAAAUUAUUUAGAUGGUAGGAUAUAUUAUUUUUAAAAACAAAAAUAAAGAGAGAGAAAGGACAUUUUAAAAAUAUUGUGAGGAAAAGAAAGGAACUAACUGACUUCUGAUUUGUGCUUAAAUUUAGGGUUAAAGAUUUUAAUUAGGAAAGGCAUACAAUUAACGUGUAGGAAAAUACAAAAAAAGAAAAAAAAAGAAUGUCAAAGGACGAAGAUUUGAAUUUGUUUCGAUCAUUUCUCUCUUUUUUCUAUUUUUUGUUUUUAGUUCAUUUAAUUUAAUAAGGGAGCUACGUCUGAGUUAAAUAAAAAGUAUGAUUAGUGUAACGACCUAAAAAUUUGAUGAAAUUUGUGAUUUUAUGUGAUUCGACUAUUUUAUCCCCCCGUAGUUGCAUUAUGAUAUUUCUGAGGUGUGGGAGUGAUUGGUAUGAUUUUCAAUGUAUUUUUGCAUCAUUUAUGCAAUAUUGUAGUUUUUUAUGGAUUCGAGAGCCUUAUUUUGGACUUAUGUGGAUAUCUUUUGAUCCGUACGAUGGAUGUUCAAAUGGACUGCGCCAGCAGCUCUGGAAUAUCGAUUUUUGGCUAGGUAGACCUUUGGUUCGGAUCCCGAUGCACCCGAGCUCAUUUCAACCUAUUAGUCAGAAAGUUGAAAAAUUAAAAAUAUGGGUGUGGGACCUACAUUUGAUCGAAACAACCUCGGAUGAAAAAUCCAACUUCGCCAGCAUAUCCGGAAUAUCGAUACUAGGGUGUUAGCAUGUUUGGUAUGAUUUUAUGGCUUUUAAAUCUCAUUUCGAUCCUCGAUUUGAAAAAUUGUGAUUUCAGGUUUCAAGGGUCAAUUUUGUGAUAACGACAUUUUCUUGAAAAUCUGAUAUCGUCAUCGCGUUCAAAACGUCGAAUUUAGUAUGGUUGCAUAGUUCGUUUGCAUUAUCAUACUCCAAACGAAUCCCGGGCAUCCCAUCGAAGUCCGUUUGGACUUGGAAAAAAAAUGCAGCUUUUUACUUAGCUGGUGUAGAAAAUCUGCACCAUUUAAAUCAGUUUCGGCCCAUUUUUUCUUCAUUUUUUCAUCUUGUCUCUUGAGAGUUAAACCUUAAAUAGCUUGAGAGCUUAAAAGUGAAGCUUGUGGAAUCUUGAGAAGAUAGAUUAAUAUCUAUUUUUUAUUUUAUUACAGAUUUAAGUUAAGAAUUCACCUAUUUUCUUAAUAAUUUCUUGAUAAAUUCCUCAAAACCCCAAAAAUCUUAGGGCAUGAUUUUAAACCAAAAUUUCACUCUUUUCACUUGAAUAAUAUUUUUAUAUCAUAAUUACUAGUUUUUCAUCAAUUUAACCUUCAAAACAACUCUGAUUCUUGAUUUUAACCCGAAUUUUAAAGAUUUUACCCGGUAAAGCUCAUAAAUAGUUUUUCUUCGAUUUGAACCUCAUUUUUUACUCGAUUUAACUUGGACUUUCAGCUGUAGGUUUCUUAAAAUAUGGGGAACAUGUUUUUGAAGUAAAGUUUUAAUUUUUCCCUUCUUUUUUGGAAACCCAUUUUGGGAGUCCGUUUUGACCCCGAACCAAAACUAGUCAAUAUGGGUGUCGUUAGUUUUGUAUUGAUGCGUAGAUUUAAUAUUUGAUAUUUUUAGUAAAUUUUGAGAUUAUUUGUGAAAAGUAAGGUCGCGAGUUCAAGUGUAGCGGACCAGUUUCGGCUUUCGAGGUAGGUUAUGGCUUAACUCUUCAGACUGGACUGAGUAGUAAAUGAUGGCACAAAAUGCAUGUUAAGGGUGGAAACUAAUCACAAAAAAAUGACUAUCUAUGUGUUGUGCCCUUGUGGGGGCCUAUAUGUGAUGUAAUUGUCGAAAUUGAGAUAUUAUGUGAUAUGUUUGACUGUAUGGGGUCCUAUGUGAUAUUGAUAGCCUUCAAUAUAUGUGAAUAAUUAUAUUGUGUUGUUUAAUGUGGUACCAUUGAUGUAUUGUGAUUAUAUUAAUAUUUUAUUGGCAUAUGAGACAUGUGAAAAUUCAUGGAUAAAACGAAAAUAAAAAGUGGAUAUUGCUCACGUGGUUGUGGAAAUGUAUCAUUGUGGUUGGUUGUGAAAAUAUAUCAUGUGGUUGGGUGUGAAAAUACUCAUUGUGGUUGGUUGGGAGCAUUACAUCUUCAUAUCAUACUCAUUUAUGAAAUAUUGGUACCACCAUGGCAACAUCUGAGAAACACUGACAACACCUAUUUAAAAAAAAUAUUGUAACACCUUAUAAAACUCUUUCUGAGGGAUAUGUCGAAAAUGAGAUAUGAGAUAUGUGGAUUGUAUAUGGGUUGACGAACCCCCCUGGGUUCUACGUCGGGAAGCUUUAGCUUCGUAGGUGUAUACGGGGAUUGUGCGACGAUCCCAGAGGUUGUGCGCCGACCUCGUGCAUCAUCAUCAUCAUCAUCAUAUACAUUGCACUUACUUUAUUGUGUUUAUGUUGUGUUGUAUUGCCUUAUUGACUUGUCAUCUAUGAAUUUGUCUUACUUUCUUUAAUUGUAUUUGAUGAUCUUGUAUCUAAAUGUUCUCUAUUAUUCUAUUUAUAUGUGACAUAAUGUAUACUUGUGUUCAAUAUCUUGAUGUGUUGUUAUAAUAUAUGUGAGAUAUAUUAGAACUGUUAGUACAAGCGGUGUGGGUUACCGUUGUGGGAUAUUUUCUGAUUGCAGGUGACGUGCCCUUAGUGUAUAUUUUGUAUGCUUUAUUUACUACUUUUCUUGGUCGGCCUAUGAUACCUAUUGAAUAUAAGUGGACCGUACUCAUGCCUACUGCGCCAUUUCGGUGCAGGUCUUAGCUCGAGUGAGCCUCAGCUUGAUUGACUCGGGCGAUUGUUGGAGCUUCCAAGGUACCGGUUGGACAUUCAUGCGUUCAAAGUUCACCUCUAUCUUUCUACAGUUGUUAUAUCUUUAUUAGUAUUUGGAGACAAUUAUUAUUCCUUUGUGGUUAUUUUUUUUUAUGCAUUUGACUCUUGGAUUGUAUUAGUAGUUCUUACACUAUUGACACCUGGUUUUGGGAAUGAUUGAUGUUUUGGAUAAGUUAUUUUCUCAUUGUUAUGAUUACUUAUAUGGUUCGACUUCAUUCAGGAAGCCUUACCGUGGGAUAUU
rnacentral:lncRNA from 1 species